UACGUAGGGGGCAAGCGUUGUCCGGAUUUAUUGGGCGUAAAGAGCGUGUAGGCGGCCAGGUAGGUCAGCUGUGAAAACUCGAGGCUCAACCUCGAGAUGUCGGCUGAAACCAUCUGGCUAGAGUCCGGAAGAGGAGAAUGGAAUUCCCGGUGUAGCGGUGAAAUGCGCAGAUAUCGGGAAGAACACCCGUGGCGAAGGCGGUUCUCUGGGACGGUACUGACGCUGAGACGCGAAAGCGUGGGGAGCGAACAGG
rnacentral:rRNA from 3 species